rnacentral:rRNA from 1 species
GGAUUAGAUACCCUGGUAGUCCACGCCCUAAACUAUGUCAACUGGUUGUCGGGGAAGCAAUUCCUUGGUAACGAAGCUAACGCGUGAAGUUGACCGCCUGGGGAGUACGGCCGCAAGGUUAAAACUCAAAGGAAUUGACGGGGACCCGCACAAGCGGUGGAUUAUGUGGAUUAAUUCGAUGCAACGCGAAAAACCUUACCUACCCUUGACAUGUACGGAAGCCUCCAGAGAUGGGGGUGUGCCCGAAAGGGAACCGUAACACAGGUGCUGCAUGGCUGUCGUCAGCUCGUGCCG